rnacentral:lncRNA from 1 species
CUCUGGCUGCAGCAUCACCUGACACGGGGUUCCUGUCUGAUACUGUAUCUAACUCAGCAAUCACUGCACAACUUACCGUCUUGCUACAUACAUUUUGGUGGCGGACCGUGGUCCGCGCCCGGGCUGAGUUCUGUGUCAGCAUCUGAACGUCCUUCUCCUGGCUCGCAUUCUUCUAGCCGGCUGAGAGGUUGUCAGGAUCCUGGGUCAAGAGUGGUCCAGCAGGGACAGGUCCAUGGUGAGACUGGCUGUACUGCAUCUGGAGCAUCCUUCUGGUGGCAUCAAGGGAGACGCUCGUCCCAGCUCUUUCAACCACAUUUCUCAGCCUCUGAAAUGCAGCAACUGCCCUGGAAGACUCGAGGUGACUGUGCCAGGAGGAGCUGCAGACGGCGUGCCUUGUGGGUCUGGAGGCAGGACUGGAGCCCCAGAGCGGGUGGGAUGGAGGGAAGGUCAAGGUGGGCAGGAGGCACCAGAAGUACAUCAGCGGGGGUGGGCCAGGGGCACGGAUGGGGGAUGGCACUCCAUCACCAAGGCGAUGCUACUUCCUCCUGCAGCCGUGGCUGGACCACGCCCUCCCAUCACCUCAUCAGUGGCUCCAGGUGCCUCUGUGGGCGUGUGGAGCAGGUUUGGUCACUUUCAGCUCAUGGAUGAGGAAGUAACCACAGAGACGGUUCUGUCCCUUUCCAGAAGAGGCUAG